GGUUUGGCCUCACGUGGACUGUUUACUGGUGUUUGAACUCUCCUCUCCCUGCCAGUUCUGUCCAAAACGAGGAAUACUUCGUUUUCUCACUCGUAAUUUUGGCUUUUUAUGGGCUUUUCUCUGCUCAGGGCAGCUCUGACCCGUGUAAAGGUUCGGAUCUGCUGACAGGCGGGGACUGACUCUGGCUGGUUGUGUAAGAGGGAGGUUUGGAUCAACACUCCUCCCCCUCCUCCCCGGGAUGGGCUGUUUAUUGGGAUUUUUCACUGACCUAUUCAUUUAAUCUUCAGUUUUGGCACCGUUUCCCUGGGCUCUUGUAAGCAAAGGGCUUUGCCAGCCAGCAGGAUGAACCAGCACAUGCAACAGGGUUGGAGAGAUCCCGAGGCUUUAGUACCUGCCUGUGGUGCUGGAGGAGGGAGGAAGGUGUGACAUGAGAGAUAGAAGUGACACUUAAAGGAAUCGCUUCCAUCUUCGGCUUUUUACACUGAGAAGCAAAAAACUUCCAUCCUCUAACUUGGAGCAGCUUCGUGUGAAAAGCUGACACAGUCUGGGGCUCCAGACAGAUGAGUAGGGAGCUGGCUACAGAAGAGGAACAGAUUCCAGUUUUCCAGCUGGUCGCCCUGUACAGAGAAAAACCCUCGAGAUCAAAGCUGGGAGAAAGAAGACAAGUGGUGGAGGAGUCAAUGUGUGACAUGGAACAGGUCUGA
rnacentral:lncRNA from 1 species